rnacentral:tRNA from 1 species
AUUUAUGUAGUUUAAUAAAAACAAUAUAUUUUCAUUAUAUUAAUAAAUUUUAUUUCAUAAAUU